rnacentral:lncRNA from 1 species
AAAGGGAAAAAUUUGGGAGAGGUAAGCUCGAAGGUAAGUCGAAUCCACCUGACAUAAACUCGCCGCCAUAAACAGCAGCAGCAGCUCCAACUAUUGCACCAGCUCCCAAUCCAGCCGCGGAAAUCCCUGGUCCAGGUCUUGCAUAUCCUCUUCCCGCUCCUCCAUAUGAUGAUGAUGAUGCAAUAUUCACAGCUUUCUCUGAUCUCGGAAUGUAUGCAGGCAUGUAGCCCGCGUUCAAAGGUGGUGGUGGUGGCUGCAUUGGUGGUGGCUGCAUUGGUGGAGGAUUGUAAGGUUGUUGCAUUGGUGGAG